UUUAAGUCACGACCACAACAGUGGGAAAAUUCAACUUUAUUGAGGAUGAAGCGCACACAUUUAAAACAAAAAGUAGAUGUUAGUUUCCUUUGUUUAUUUUUCAACGAUAAGGGAGAUAUUGUGCUUUGAAACACAGAGCAAAAGCCAGUGCGAUGAUCGUAUAACAUUGAUGUCAAUCCAGACAGAAAUGAACAGAAAAGGGCUGGGCAAUGUUAAGAUAUAAUGUUAAACCACUCCACUGAUGUUAACUCUUGAAACUUGGGAAUGGGCACAGAAAUAUGUAACAAUCAGUUGACACUGGUAAAACUAGAUGGACAUUUGGAAAACAAUGAGAGCAACUAAAAUCAUUAAGUGAUAACAUAUAUUGCUGUAUAGUGCAAAAUAUAAAAUGGUGGUGAGAGCACUCAAAUCAUGCAAAUACAAUAUUUUACCAGAACUUUGUUUGUUGGAAUAUCUAAAAAAAACAUAAAACACAGAAACAUAGUAUAAUACUGUUUAAAAUAUGUGCAAAAUGUUGUAUGUGACUGGUUAAACUCACAUAUUUCUGAGUCACUUUAAAAGCUGACUCAGACUUAGGGCUUGUAUGGAGAUGAGAAAUCUCUA